CGAACGGGUGAGUAACGCGUGAGGAACCUGCCUCAAANAGGGGGACAACAGUUGGAAACGACUGCUAAUACCGCAUAAGCCCACGGCUCGGCAUCGAGCAGAGGGAAAAGGAGUGAUCCGCUUUGAGAUGGCCUCGCGUCCGAUUAGCUGGUUGGUGAGGUAACGGCCCACCAAGGCGACGAUCGGUAGCCGGACUGAGAGGUUGAACGGCCACAUUGGGACUGAGACACGGCCCAGACUCCUACGGGAGGCAGCAUG
rnacentral:rRNA from 1 species